rnacentral:lncRNA from 1 species
CUUCCUCUGUCCGUAAAUACUUGUCAUAGGAAUUAAUGUAUUAGAUCCUUUUUUAUUAAUUUGUGCGACGAGUAAUUCCGGAGGGAGUAGUUUUUAUAGUUUAGUUGGGGGAAUGAUGUACAGAACCAGAUGACGAGGGUUGCCCAAAUGCAAUCCUACCAUGAUGCGGACUGAAAUUUCAUUGAGGUCAAAUACAUUUGCUGCUGAUGGUUCUUCACAACCCCGCAUAUUUUGAAUGCCAUGCUUUUCUUGGUAAAUUGUUUUGUGAACCUUGUUGCAUUGCAUAUGAAUUACCUUGUUUUCUGUUGAUAAUUAUGUCUGCAGUGCGUGCUCUGUAGAUGCAAAGGCUAUGAUGAGAAAAGUCAUGCACCACUCUGAGGAGAUUUACCUCCUUGUGCUGAUAAACAAACUUACAACCCAUUUUACAUCUGAGCCUCCUCACAUUUUUGUAUUUUCUGAUUUAUUUAGACGUAUGUCAAAUUGGUUUUUGAGAAACCAAAUAGUUAAGGUAAUAACUGGAUUGGUGGGAUAAUAUCGGAACCAGAUGAUGAGGGUCGCCUAUUGGUGAUCCUACCAUGAUGCGGACUGAAUUAACAUUGAGGUCAAGUACAUUUGCCGCUGAUGGUUCUUUUUCCAAUCCCCCCAUAUCUUGAAUUGAUUUUCUCCUUGGUUUUUGAAUGUUGUUGUUGGCUAUGAUGAGAAAAGUCAUGCACCACUCUGAAGAGAUUUAUCUCUUUGUGCUGAUAAACAAACUUACAACCCAUUUUACUUCUGAGCCGUCUCAUGACUUUUGUAUUUUUCUGAUCUGUUUAUUGGUUUUUAGAAAAUGUUUCCAGCUUUUGCCUUUGUCAGAAUACUGUGGUUUUGAAAGAUAAGUCUUGCUGUUAACUGGAUUGGACGAAUAAUGUAGAGAACCAGAUGAUGAGGGUUGCUCUAGCGAUCCUACCAUGAUGCGGACUGAGUUACAUUGAUGUCAAAACAUUUGCCGCUGAUGGUUCAUCUUUAAUGUUUUUUGUCAUCCCUAUUUUCAGUGUUUUGGAAGGAGUGCCCUUGUAUCUGAAUUACUUAAGGUUNAACCCUCAAAUCCAUGAACGUUGAUUAUAUAGCACAAAUCCAUCAUCAGUCUAACAAUUCAACAAUGCAACAUAGAGCAAAGCGAACCACACUUUCAAAGUCGAAACAUGUGAAAACUGAAAUUCAACUUCCGAAUUGUGUCCCGCCGUUGGAGUCAGUUUAGCAGUUCAACAUGAUGAAUAAAAAAUGUAGAGGCAAUGUUGUCAUGCUGGUGUCACCAACUGAUGGAGCCGAUGAGAUUGCCAAAUCAUAAGCCUUGUACUAGUUAAUUGGUUAAAAGUUGUGUUACGCAAAACAUGUUUCAAACGAGCUUCUAUUAUUUUGAGAAAACUAAUUAUGCACAUGUGUUGACAUGUGCAGAUGAAUUUGUAAAUUGUAUCGAGCCUGAACAUUGUUUGAGAGCAACGAUGGUAGCAUGCAUCUACAUAGAAUGGUACCAUAUUUUAGGAGAAUGGCAGCAUCCAUACCGUGCUUCAUCUAUCUUGUAUUCGCUUCAAGAAAUAUCAGGAAAAUAUACAAGUUAACUAAAAUAGCUCAAUAAUAAUAAUAAUAUGGGCCACAAUAUGUGUGAUAGGUCUUUGGAAGGUCCUCCCAUCUAAAAAUGCAUUGUGAAUUUUUUUUGAAAAAUCAACUCCACGCCCUUUGAUCAAAUUUAUAUAAAAUGUUCAUCACCAAUAUUUAAUCUUGAAGAUGUUUUAAAAUCCUUCGAUUGUUCAUACAAAUUUUGCAAACUCACAUCGUUUUUUAGUCUAUUUAUAUUGAGGUACUCCCUCGUUCUUAAAUAUAAGUCUUUUAAGAGAUUUUACUAAAGGUCUACAUACGAAGCAAAAUAAAUAAAUCUAUAUACUUUAAAAUAUCUCUAUAUACAUUCGUAUGUAGUUUACUAGUGGAACCUCUAGAAAGACUUAUAAUUAGGAACGAAACGAGUAUUUUUUAAGAGUUUGGACUUUUUUUGUUAUGGUUCUGUAUUGGGCUAACUUACCUUGGCCCAUGGGGCUAUUUCGGCCCUUUUCCUCUAGGGUUAGCCGGUUAGGUCAAGGUCUCUCAUCCUUUCCCCACCCCACCUCUAUUAAUACCCGCCGCCGCCGAUUCCAUCUCCAUCACCUCAUCCCGCCGGCGAUUGCUCCCCACCACCCAACCCUAGAUCCAUAGACCCGGCGGCGGCGGCCAGGCCAAGAUGGUGUGCAUCCGGCAGGCGACGAUCGACGACCUGCUGGCGAUGCAGGCGUGCAACCUGAUGUGCCUGCCGGAGAACUACCAGAUGAAGUACUACUUCUACCACAUGCUCUCGUGGCCGCAGCUGCUGUUCGUCGCCGAGGACUACGGCGGCCGCAUCGUCGGCUACGUGCUGGCCAAGAUGGAGGAGGACCCCUCGGAGCCCUGCCACGGCCACAUCACCUCCCUCGCCGUCCUCCGCUCCCACCGCAAGCUCGGCCUCGCCACCAAGCUCAUGUCGGCCGCCCAGGCCGCCAUGGACCAGGUCUUCGGCGCCGAGUACGUCUCCCUCCACGUCCGACGCUCCAACCGCGCCGCCUUCAACCUCUACACCUCCACCCUCGGCUACCAGAUCCACGACAUCGAGGCCAAGUACUACGCCGACGGCGAGGACGCCUACGACAUGCGCAAGAUGCUCCGCCAGCCCGUGCCCAAGAAGCACCAUCAUCACCACCACGCAGGCGGCGGCUGCUGCUCUCAUGACGCCCUUCCUGCGCCGGCCGGAUCGUCCCCGACUACCGCUUCGCCGGAGAAGAAGGCCGACUCAUAAGAGGGUAUGCUGCUGCCGCCUCAUCGAUCUGUUACUUUUUGUAUAAUAAACUGCGGUAAUUCGAUACUUGUUGUUACUUAGAAUCAACGAUUUCCUGCAACUUAGUCGCGAUUUUGCUAGGGAAAUUAUCAUAGCCAAAUCUCGCUGUUGGAUCUUGUGUAUGCGGCGCCUCUCUCACCUUUGGCUUCUUGAGAUUGACCUUUCUCAAAGUUGCCCAGUCAUGGAGGCGCACAGUGAUCACUGGCCGGUUUAACGUGGUUGCUAGCAGUUUGUUGCUAUGCUUCCAAAAUCUCUCGCCACAUCUGCUUUAACCAUAACAAGUUACAGAUUAGAUCUCGUGCGGUUUGAUGAACAUAAGUUAGUUCUGACCUCUUGCUUGCCGGAGCUAUAACGUGCUCCGGUGCCUCUCUCACCUUUGGCAUCUUGAGAUUGUUCUUUCUCAAAGUUGCCCAGUCAUAGUGGCACAUAGUGAUUCCUGGUGGGUUUAACGUGGGAGGUAGCUGUUUAUGGUUAUGCUUCCAAAAUCUCUCGCUACAUCUGUUUAUUAGAACACUCUUUUGAACUGCUGUGGAUUGUUCUGAACCUUGUGCUGCCUACUGUCUGAAGAACAUAUUUCCGUCCAUUGCCUCUUAAUCAUAGUGGUUAUAUUACUAUACCUGAGUUUAGUCAGUGAUGAUCAUGUCUGCAAAAUGUAUGCUCUGUGGAUUCAAGCCCCUGUUUCAGGGAGAACCUCUUGAUGAAGCAGAUGUAAUUUGACAUUAAUUGACAAAUCUGAGACAUUGUUGAAUAUUGUUUCAUGCUGCCUAGUUAAUUUUAGUAGUACGAUUGUAUUGAUUUGAUUUCUGGUUUAGAAACAGUCUUUUGCUGCAUGAUAGCUUGAUUAUUGUUUGCUUAAGUUCUGCCAUUGAUGAUUCUGUCUGCAAAAUGUAUGGUCUGUGGAUUCAAGCCCCUGUUUCAGGGAGAACCUCUUGAUGAAGCAGAUAUAAUGUGACAUCAAUUGACAGCUCUGAGGCAAUUUAUAGCAUUGUUCUGCUUACUGCCUUGUCAUUUUAGUAGGUAGGAUGUAUUGAGGUGACUUUUGAUUUUGCAACUGUCUCUUUUACUUGAUACCUUAACCGUUGUUUGCUUAAGUUUUGACAAUGAUGAUUCUGUCUGCAAAAUAGAUGCUCUGUGGAUUCAAGCCCCUGUUUCAGGGAGAACCUCUUGAUGAAGCAGAUAUAAUAUGACAUCAGUUGACAAAUCUGAGACAAUAUUAUGAUAUAUUGCUGCUUGGUGUCUAGUGACUUUUAUUAUUCAUGGUUUUCCAAUGAUGAUUCUGUCUGCAAAAUGGAUGCCCUGUGGACUCAAGCCCCUUUUUCAGGGAGAACCUCUUGAGAAAGCAGAUGUAAAAUGACAUCAAAUGACAAAUCUGAGGUAUUCUAUAUUGUGCUUCCUAGUAUUUGUAACAUCAAUUGACAAAUGAGGUAUUCCAGGACAUUCAGCUUCCUGCUGAUGCAAUAGGCUAUGAUGAGAAAAGUCAUGCACCACUCUGAAGAGAAUCAUCUCUUUGUGCUGAUAAACAAACUUACAACCCAUUUUACAUCUGAGCCACCUCAUGGAUACCUCUUUUUGUAUUUUUUCUUUAUUUGCUUUUCAUGCCAUAGAUGGUACUUCCUCUGUCCGUAAAUACUUGUCAUAGGAAUUAAUGUAUUAGAUCCUUUUUUAUUAAUUUGUGCGACGAGUAAUUCCGGAGGGAGUAGUUUUUAUAGUUUAGUUGGGGGAAUGAUGUACAGAACCAGAUGACGAGGGUUGCCCAAAUGCAAUCCUACCAUGAUGCGGACUGAAAUUUCAUUGAGGUCAAAUACAUUUGCUGCUGAUGGUUCUUCACAACCCCGCAUAUUUUGAAUGCCAUGCUUUUCUUGGUAAAUUGUUUUGUGAACCUUGUUGCAUUGCAUAUGAAUUACCUUGUUUUCUGUUGAUAAUUAUGUCUGCAGUGCGUGCUCUGUAGAUGCAAAGGCUAUGAUGAGAAAAGUCAUGCACCACUCUGAGGAGAUUUACCUCCUUGUGCUGAUAAACAAACUUACAACCCAUUUUACAUCUGAGCCUCCUCACAUUUUUGUAUUUUCUGAUUUAUUUAGACGUAUGUCAAAUUGGUUUUUGAGAAACCAAAUAGUUAAGGUAAUAACUGGAUUGGUGGGAUAAUAUCGGAACCAGAUGAUGAGGGUCGCCUAUUGGUGAUCCUACCAUGAUGCGGACUGAAUUAACAUUGAGGUCAAGUACAUUUGCCGCUGAUGGUUCUUUUUCCAAUCCCCCCAUAUCUUGAAUUGAUUUUCUCCUUGGUUUUUGAAUGUUGUUGUUGGCUAUGAUGAGAAAAGUCAUGCACCACUCUGAAGAGAUUUAUCUCUUUGUGCUGAUAAACAAACUUACAACCCAUUUUACUUCUGAGCCGUCUCAUGACUUUUGUAUUUUUCUGAUCUGUUUAUUGGUUUUUAGAAAAUGUUUCCAGCUUUUGCCUUUGUCAGAAUACUGUGGUUUUGAAAGAUAAGUCUUGCUGUUAACUGGAUUGGACGAAUAAUGUAGAGAACCAGAUGAUGAGGGUUGCUCUAGCGAUCCUACCAUGAUGCGGACUGAGUUACAUUGAUGUCAAAACAUUUGCCGCUGAUGGUUCAUCUUUAAUGUUUUUUGUCAUCCCUAUUUUCAGUGUUUUGGAAGGAGUGCCCUUGUAUCUGAAUUACUUAAGGUUUUGCCAAUGAUGUUUCUGUCUGCAAAAUGGAUGCUCGAGCCCCUGUUACAGGGAGAACCUCUUGAGAUAAUGACAUCAAUCGACAAGCCUGAGGCAUCCUAAAACAAGAAAACGCUUACACGCAAAUCAUGUACUUUCAGCUUUGCUUAGAUGUGGUUUCUCAAAUGUAUCUUCUUUCUCCUGAUUGCAGAAAGACAUUUCAUGUGUGAGGAGCUGCUGAACCUACCGGAUUAUAUGAAUCAUGUGGUGCUCUUUUCUGGAUGAUGAUUGUAUCCAUGUACCAAUGAUACAGAGGGAACAUUGUACUGUGAUUACAUGUGUUUUUGUAGGCUUGCCUGGUCAGGUCCCACACCUUUGGCAAGACUCCUUGUAAUUCGAGAAUUAAUGACAUGCACAUAUUUUAACUACAUCCCAUUUUUGCCUUAAAUGUGGACAUUUCAUUUGUGUCCUAACUUCAAAGUAUAUUCGGGGAUGUCCACUUCUAAUAGUUAAAAUUUUGUACCUCAAACUUAGUUUUUUUUUUUUGUAUGCAUAAUGGUAAAACUGUGUAAUUUUGUUUUAGCGUUGCACUCAGACAAAUUAACUUUGUGAUUAAAUAACAAAACAGUUGAACCCAAAACUGCUGUCUAUUUUGAACUAAAAUGCUGCCUAUUUUUGUGAUGACUUGCGAAUCCAGUAGGUUUGUUUAUGGUUUUGUGGGCUGGCGCGGGUGUGGAUAUAAAUGGUUAUGUUGGUUGGUGUGGAUAUAGAUGGUUAUGUGGGUGUGUUCAGGCGUGGCCGUGGCCGUGUUGACCCGCGAAACAGAACCCCCAAGCUGAUAAAUGAGUUCAAAUUCAAACAAUAAGAUGUGCAUAAUGAAAGUGUAGUUUUAAAAGACAAACGUAGAAAUAGAACACCCNGAAACAGCCUUUGCUGCACAAUAGGUUUACUAUUGUUUGCUGCCAAUGAUGAUUCUGUCUGCAAAAUGUAUGCUCUGUGGAUUCAAGCCCCUGUUUCAGGGAGAACCUCUUGAUGAAGCAGAUGUUAUUUGACAUUAAUUGACAAAUCUGAGACAUUGUUGAAUAUUGUUUCAUGCUGCCUAGUUAAUUUUAGUAGUACGAUUGUAUUGAUUUGAUUUCUGGUUUAGAAACAGUCUUUUGCUGCAUGAUAGCUUGAUUAUUGUUUGCUUAAGUUCUGCCAUUGAUGAUUCUGUCUGCAAAAUGUAUGGUCUGUGGAUUCAAGCCCCUGUUUCAGGGAGAACCUCUUGAUGAAGCAGAUAUAAUGUGACAUCAAUUGACAGCUCUGAGGCAAUUUAUAGCAUUGUUCUGCUUACUGCCUUGUCAUUUUAGUAGGUAGGAUGUAUUGAGGUGACUUUUGAUUUUGCAACUGUCUCUUUUACUUGAUACCUUAACCGUUGUUUGCUUAAGUUUUGACAAUGAUGAUUCUGUCUGCAAAAUAGAUGCUCUGUGGAUUCAAGCCCCUGUUUCAGGGAGAACCUCUUGAUGAAGCAGAUAUAAUAUGACAUCAGUUGACAAAUCUGAGACAAUAUUAUGAUAUAUUGCUGCUUGGUGUCUAGUGACUUUUAUUAUUCAUGGUUUUCCAAUGAUGAUUCUGUCUGCAAAAUGGAUGCCCUGUGGACUCAAGCCCCUUUUUCAGGGAGAACCUCUUGAGAAAGCAGAUGUAAAAUGACAUCAAAUGACAAAUCUGAGGUAUUCUAUAUUGUGCUUCCUAGUAUUUGUAACAUCAAUUGACAAAUGAGGUAUUCCAGGACAUUCAGCUUCCUGCUGAUGCAAUAGGCUAUGAUGAGAAAAGUCAUGCACCACUCUGAAGAGAAUCAUCUCUUUGUGCUGAUAAACAAACUUACAACCCAUUUUACAUCUGAGCCACCUCAUGGAUACCUCUUUUUGUAUUUUUUCUUUAUUUGCUUUUCAUGCCAUAGAUGGUACUUCCUCUGUCCGUAAAUACUUGUCAUAGGAAUUAAUGUAUUAGAUCCUUUUUUAUUAAUUUGUGCGACGAGUAAUUCCGGAGGGAGUAGUUUUUAUAGUUUAGUUGGGGGAAUGAUGUACAGAACCAGAUGACGAGGGUUGCCCAAAUGCAAUCCUACCAUGAUGCGGACUGAAAUUUCAUUGAGGUCAAAUACAUUUGCUGCUGAUGGUUCUUCACAACCCCGCAUAUUUUGAAUGCCAUGCUUUUCUUGGUAAAUUGUUUUGUGAACCUUGUUGCAUUGCAUAUGAAUUACCUUGUUUUCUGUUGAUAAUUAUGUCUGCAGUGCGUGCUCUGUAGAUGCAAAGGCUAUGAUGAGAAAAGUCAUGCACCACUCUGAGGAGAUUUACCUCCUUGUGCUGAUAAACAAACUUACAACCCAUUUUACAUCUGAGCCUCCUCACAUUUUUGUAUUUUCUGAUUUAUUUAGACGUAUGUCAAAUUGGUUUUUGAGAAACCAAAUAGUUAAGGUAAUAACUGGAUUGGUGGGAUAAUAUCGGAACCAGAUGAUGAGGGUCGCCUAUUGGUGAUCCUACCAUGAUGCGGACUGAAUUAACAUUGAGGUCAAGUACAUUUGCCGCUGAUGGUUCUUUUUCCAAUCCCCCCAUAUCUUGAAUUGAUUUUCUCCUUGGUUUUUGAAUGUUGUUGUUGGCUAUGAUGAGAAAAGUCAUGCACCACUCUGAAGAGAUUUAUCUCUUUGUGCUGAUAAACAAACUUACAACCCAUUUUACUUCUGAGCCGUCUCAUGACUUUUGUAUUUUUCUGAUCUGUUUAUUGGUUUUUAGAAAAUGUUUCCAGCUUUUGCCUUUGUCAGAAUACUGUGGUUUUGAAAGAUAAGUCUUGCUGUUAACUGGAUUGGACGAAUAAUGUAGAGAACCAGAUGAUGAGGGUUGCUCUAGCGAUCCUACCAUGAUGCGGACUGAGUUACAUUGAUGUCAAAACAUUUGCCGCUGAUGGUUCAUCUUUAAUGUUUUUUGUCAUCCCUAUUUUCAGUGUUUUGGAAGGAGUGCCCUUGUAUCUGAAUUACUUAAGGUUUUGCCAAUGAUGUUUCUGUCUGCAAAAUGGAUGCUCGAGCCCCUGUUACAGGGAGAACCUCUUGAGAUAAUGACAUCAAUCGACAAGCCUGAGGCAUCCUAAAACAAGAAAACGCUUACACGCAAAUCAUGUACUUUCAGCUUUGCUUAGAUGUGGUUUCUCAAAUGUAUCUUCUUUCUCCUGAUUGCAGAAAGACAUUUCAUGUGUGAGGAGCUGCUGAACCUACCGGAUUAUAUGAAUCAUGUGGUGCUCUUUUCUGGAUGAUGAUUGUAUCCAUGUACCAAUGAUACAGAGGGAACAUUGUACUGUGAUUACAUGUGUUUUUGUAGGCUUGCCUGGUCAGGUCCCACACCUUUGGCAAGACUCCUUGUAAUUCGAGAAUUAAUGACAUGCACAUAUUUUAACUACAUCCCAUUUUUGCCUUAAAUGUGGACAUUUCAUUUGUGUCCUAACUUCAAAGUAUAUUCGGGGAUGUCCACUUCUAAUAGUUAAAAUUUUGUACCUCAAACUUAGUUUUUUUUUUUUGUAUGCAUAAUGGUAAAACUG